rnacentral:rRNA from 1 species
UUUUCUGGUGAGAGGCGGGGGAUAAUUUGGGGGGGGCUUCCGGUGCCACUUCCAACGGGUAUAUGUCCCUUGUGAUUUGGGGGCCCCUUUUUUAAAGGGCGCCGGGGAGGCUUAGCGCCCCGGGGCCGGGGCCGCUGAAGACCCCAACAUAACUCUGUUCUGAAAGUAUGCAGUCUGAGUGUGAUUACCAUAAUCAAUCAAAACUUUCAACAACGGAUCUCUUGGUUCCGGCAUCGAUGAAGAACGCAGCGAAAUGCGAUAAGUAAUGUGAAUUGCAGAAUUCAGUGAAUCAUCGAGUCUUUGAACGCACAUUGCGCCCCCUGGUAUUCCGGGGGGCAUGCCUGUCCGAGCGUCAUUGCUGCCCUCAAGCACGGCUUGUGUGUUGGGCCCCCGUCCCCGGUUCUCCCCGGGGACGGGCCCGAAAGGCAGCGGCGGCACCGCGUCCGAUCCUCGAGCGUAUGGGGCUUUGUCACCCGCUCUGUAGGCCCGGCCGGCGCCAGCCGACACCCCCAACUUUAUUCUCUAAGGUUGACCUCGGGAG